AGAGAGAGAGAGAGAGAGAGAGAGAGAGAGAGAGAGAGAGAGAGAGAGAGAGAGAGAGAGAGAGAGAGAGAGAGAGAGAGAGAGAGAUUCGUCCAAACCGUCGACAUUUUGGAGAAAUCUCAAGGUGAUUGACGGUCUUCCUUGGUGAGCGGUUUUGGCGUGUAUUGUGAAAGUGAAGACGCAGCGGGAUUAGAGCGGGUAGUCCUACAGGUCAGGAGGAUUAUGGCGGAGAUCGUGCGAAUUAGAGUAUUUGUUUUUAGUUUUACAGCUUGUAAAUUGUGAGGUGAGUGAUGCUCAAUUUGAGCUUUACAUAUUUAUUUGUAUAAGAGAGUUGUAAUAAAUCAUUUGAGAUUUGAAAUUUGAGUGACUUGUGUUG